UCCCCAGGACAUUAUAUGUAUAAAUGUGCAUGAAAAUCAACUCUAAAAUACAUUUUACUAUUAAGCAAAGGGUCCUGCACAUUGAUCUAUUUGCAAAUCUCAAAUAUUUAUUUGAAAACAUUAAUAAAAACUACCUCAAACACUGAAAAAUAGCAUUUUAAUAGCAUAAAAACUAC